UCCCUGGUAGUCUAGUGGUUAAGAUUUGGCACUCUCACCGCCACAGCCUGGGUUUGUUUCCCGGUCAGGGAA
rfam:Loxodonta africana unplaced genomic scaffold scaffold_71, whole genome shotgun sequence.